rnacentral:tRNA from 1 species
GCCCCCAUCGUCUAGCGGCCUAGGACGACGCCUUCUCAAGGCGUAGAUCGCCGGUUCGAAUCCGGCUGGGGGUACAA